CCGGGAUCCCAGCAUUAGCAAGACUUAGUCUACAUACACGACACCGUCGACUGUGUCACAGUGUGUGUACAGAUCUUUCCACAGUGGCUGCACGCGUCGUCUUUCUUUCGAACAGGAGAGUUGAGAGUUGUUGGUAUUGUGGAGCCGGUAGCCGGUAUGCUGACGGUACGUAGCCCUGUCGUGACCCAGCUCUUCACUCGUACACGCCUGAUCGAGCAAAACUGACAAUAGGAGCAUCGGCUUUGCACUGAGAACGGCGCUGCUGAGCGCUAUUGCGUUAGUACGUAGUAGUGCGAUAGGUGCCGCAUUGUUUUGGCUUGACCAUCGCUAGUAAUACUACAGUACUAGUACUAGUAUCACAACAGCUCACCAAUGACUUGUCCAUGCUACCAUUCGUUCGCUCUUUCAGUCUUUGUGUUGUCUGAGUCUCUGACUCGCUGGUGCACCACCAUCCUGAACAUAACCCCAGUCACCAGUGGUUACUGUAGAGAGUAGCACCAGUCCUGGAGUUACUCAGUUAGCUUGACCCCAGCUAGCUAUGGAUAGCUAUAGUGUAUUAGUGAAGGGGAACAAAAAUAAUUCUGCCUGCUGAAAGGGAGCGGAUAGCGGUUUCUACAUGUAGAUACCAUUGUGCAGUCAGCGUCCAUGUGAGCAUCAUGCCACGGUGUCUUGGCAGCAACGAAUUAUGGCAUACAGUGUGGCUAGUACUAGCUCUACAUCACCGUGAUCACAGGACGGGAGCUUGCACAUACUCCAGCAUAUCGACUGGGAUAGACGUGCUGUAGUGUGAAGGAUGUAUGCCGGCACUCGGACGACGGGGACGGUAUUAUGUAGUACAAAUUGUACAGUAAAACCUGUCAAGGCAACCACUCCGAGAAGGCGACCACCUGUCAAGGCAACCACUCCGAGAAGGCGACCACCUGUCCCAGAUGACCACUGCAACAAGGGCCCAGAAAGCCCCAGAUGACCACUGCAACAAGGGCCCUGUGAUGUUAUUUCUAGUCACAUAAUGAUUCUGGGUAAGGAGACCACCUGUACACAGUGACCGCAUUUUGAAGGUCCCUUGAGUGGUCGGCAGCAGGCAUGUUUCACUGUACAUUGUAUGUGGAUUGUAAUUGUCCCCAAGAUCUGUACAUGUAUGAUCCGGUACAGGGCCAAUGGCAAUGCCUAGCUAUAGCGUGUUGUCUACUUGUACCUGGCCAUGUGUCUUCCAUGUGGGUUGUGAAUCCUAACCCUCUAAGAAUGCAGUCUCGACAAUGGUUUUGAGUGAACAUACAGUAUCACAGCCAGGCAAGUGCCAGGGCAAUGCUGAGCCUAUCAGUUCUGAACUUCAUUCCUUGGCUGCAACCGUCCUUGCACUUGCAGGACGGGAAUCUUUGCUUCUACUAAGUAUUACUAUUAGUUCUAGGUUUAGCAGAGAUGGAAGUGAGCGCAUUCCUGAGUGAACAUGGUAGCAAAUGACGGUGCCCAGUUCCUGGUUACCAUGACAACUCCACUAUGAGUGUGUAUGGUAUGGUAUGGUAUUGAUUUAUUUGUAUUCACGGAACAUACAUGUACAUACUCUUCACAGACGCGCCAUUCACGCUCUCAACGCCGUUUGGUACGAUGUA